UUUGAACGCUGGCGGCAUGCUUUACACAUGCAAGUCGAACGGUAACAGGCCUUCGGGUGCUGACGAGUGGCGAACGGGUGAGUAAUGCAUCGGAACGUACCCAGAGGUGGGGGAUAACGCAGCGAAAGCUGUGCUAAUACCGCAUGUGAUCUGAGGAUGAAAGCGGGGGACCGAGCAGCAAUGUUUGGCCUCGCGCCUUUGGAGCGGCCGAUGUCGGAUUAGCUAGUUGGUGGGGUAAAGGCCUACCAAGGCGACGAUCCGUAGCUGGUCUGAGAGGACGACCAGCCACACUGGGACUGAGACACGGCCCAGACUCCUACGGGAGGCAGCAGUGGGGAAUUUUGGACAAUGGGCGCAAGCCUGAUCCAGCAAUGCCGCGUGCGGGAAGAAGGCCUUCGGGUUGUAAACCGCUUUUGGCAGGAACGAAACGGUGUCCGCUAAUACCGGGCGCUAAUGACGGUACCUGCAGAAUAAGCACCGGCUAACUACGUG
rnacentral:rRNA from 1 species